UACGUAGGGGGCAAGCGUUGUCCGGAAUCAUUGGGCGUAAAGCGCGUGUAGGCGGUCCGGUAAGUCCGCUGUGAAAGUCGGGGGCUUAACCCUCGGAUGCCGGUGGAUACUGUCGGGCUUGAGUACGGAAGAGGCGAGUGGAAUUCCUGGUGUAGCGGUGAAAUGCGCAGAUAUCAGGAGGAACACCAAUUGCGAAGGCAGCUCGCUGGGACGUUACUGACGCUGAGACGCGAAAGCCAGGGGAGCAAACGGG
rnacentral:rRNA from 1 species